GGUCGACGAGGAAGUAAUCGAUACAAGCCUAUCGAAAAAUGCUUGGCGAUAAAUCGGAUGAAACUGCCCAAAUAAUCAAAUAUCCAUAUUCUGAAUUUCUCAAGCGCAAGCGCAGCUUUGGAAUUGUGACAGCGUUUGCUCGAAUGUCGGUUAUAUGGGGUGUUCUCGCUGCGUGGGGGUAAACAACUAUUUAUUUUACAUACUACGAAGACUGUUCUAUUUAUGUUUGAUUCGUUGGUGAAUGAAAUAUAUUUUUGGAAUAAAUAUUUGCCCACGAGGACAAUUAAACAGCCCGAUUCCUUAGUAUAUUUGGCUGUUCGUCAAUGGGCUACUGUGCCAUAGAGCCGCUCCCUCUCCCCCUCUACUUCCUUACAGCACUGAAAUCUUGGUUAUAAUCACAAGACUGAUCUGAUCUGUAGCGUAGCCCAUGGUCUGGGUUAGAUGGGAAGAUGAUAUUGGUUCCUGGCGAAGCCAACGAAUGUGAACGAGAAAUAAAGACUGUGGGUAAAGUCAAGUGCUGGCAUACCGUUUGGGAAUGCUAGAGCAGAGAGGGCUGUGAAGAACACAUCAGCCAACUGCACAUGGACCAGCCCCUCUCUAGGAUGACAACCUGACAGCAGCAGCCUCAACAUGAAGAGGACAUAAAUGCCACGCCACCUGGCAACGGCCCAGUUAAAGACUAGCCAAUUCUAUGAGUUCUACAGCAGUGAAUUCAAGCAUAACAUCGAGACUAAUCAUUUUGCUUCUACUAUGCAGCAUACUGAAGGGAUUUCUAUUUUGUCUGUCACUUUUUGCCUCUGACACAUCUGUAUUUCACAAAGUUAAGUAUUUUAAUCAUUUCCUUUUGUAAAAAACUCCAUUAAUACAAUUUGCUUGAAUUGUUGUCUAGCGAUUCGAGACAGCAGGUUUCCUAGGAACCCCAUAUUUGAUGAGUGGAAAGGAGACAACAAAAUGUAACCUCCAGUUUGAAAGACUAAGUGAGGUGAUGCAAAGGUCAGCACACUUGACUCACUUUUGGGAGGUCAAUGGUUCAAAUCUGCAUCUGGCCAUCCAAAAUCAGGUUUUCCUUGAUUACUCUAAAUUGCUUUGGGCAAAUAGCAGAAUGGUUCCUUGGAAAGGGCACUGCUGAUUUCCUUUCCUGUCCUUGAAACGGCCGGAGUGUGUGCUCCAUCUCCAACAACCUUAUGUUGAUGGGACUAAUUUUCUUUCCUUUGUGUUUGAGAGUAAUAUGGAGAUUGCUGUUGUGAGAGUUUAAAAGCUUCGAAACAUGUUAUUGUGACACUAUUUACCACAGGGCCUGCAAUAAGAGGACCAUUGGUGAAAUGGAGGCAGGUCCUACUAAAAGUGCUAUCAAAGAUCUUAAAUGUGGUUCAUGGGCUGUGGCAGAAAUUUCCAAUAAAAGGUUGUGACGUUCUUCACCUGUCAUGAUGAAUACUUUGGUACAUAUCGAACUGUGGCAAAUAGGAAAAAUACAAGAAUCUCCAUCUGCGUAAUGGAUGAAGAUCCUAAUCUUUAGUUCGAUAGUGUAAAGCUGGGGUGAAAGUUCACAGGUUAACUUCUUAUGUGUUUAUUUCAUGACCAAAUGUCACUGUUGCAUUACAAGCCAGCAUGAGUAACUAGUUGUCAACCUAAACUUACAAAUAAAAAUCAUCUUGCAGACAGCAAUGGCAACCCAGAUCUGGUUUAUGUGAAAGCUCAGCAACUUUACCAACAGUUAUGACACGUAACAAUGAUUAAUGGCUGAUGUCAUCAAUAGGGUUAUAUCAUUGAGUACAGUGUGCUGAAGGCUUAGAAGAGGUGGCACAUAAGCAAAGGGUGGCCACAUGUGUAUGUUGUGUAACAGUAAGCAGCAUUUUCUGCAGGAACCCUAAUUAAUACUUAUACAGGACUGUCUAUAGUGGAAGACUAUCCUUUUUACAGAUGAAUCCUGGUUUUAGCUUGGGAAAAAAAAGUGUUUCAGAUUGAGGAGAAGGCAGAAUGCGUUAUCAGCCUUCAAACGUCUGUAAAAGAUAUAACUUGAGAUGUGACAGUGUCCAUGUCUGGUGUGCUGUAUUCGUAGGCAAACAUGUUCCAAGUGGUAAAGUAACAGUUAUACAGAGAUGAUGUCCCUGAAUUUUAUCCCUGUCCUUAUGCUGGUGCAAAUAUGAUUACUUACAUUAUUACAACAGUUGAUCUUGCAGGACACAUUUUGUGAAUGAAUAUCUUCAGCAGAAAAAGGUUCAAUGCAUGUAAUGGCUGGUUCACUCUCUCAGCCUGAAUCCCAGAGAGCAUUUCUGGGAUACCCCUAGAAAACAUGUUUCUACUCAAUAUCCACAUUGUCAGACCAUUGAUAUCCUGGGAACACCUCUGCGAGAAAAAUGGCAUUCACUUCCUAAGGAGCUCCCUUAUAUACCCUUAAAGACAUCCCACACCACUGGAUGUGGUGCACUGCUGCUUGUGAUAUCUGUACCCUGUUUAUGUUAAUUUUCAACACCAAAAUAACACAUUUAUGUGCUGUAUAUGUACUGAGUUACAACAUAACUCAUCAUAUAGCAUUGGCCAACAAGGCCUUUAUCACACACACACACACACACACACACACACACACACACACACACACACACACACACACGAGACCACAGUCUCUGGCAGCUGAUGCCAGACUGCCAGUCUGGCUUCAGCUACCAGAGACUGUGAUCUUAUGUGUGUGAGUUGCAUUUGCAUAAGAGAGAGAGAGAGUAUCUAUUCUGUAUUUUCCAUUUUACAACAUAACUCUUUAUAGGAUAAUUGUUUUCAUAUUUUGUUUAGCCUAUAUGUGCAUUCUGUAUUUUGGGUACGUUUUAUCGCAUGUUCCACAGGAUUUGUCAAUUAUAUUUAUAUUUGUAAUUUUUCCUUGAUUUAUAAAACCCAGUGUUAAUAUCAUUGUUGGGGCCCCAAUGAAACAGAUAGAAGGCUGCUUAAAAAGCUAAUUAUUGGAAAACAUUAAAUGUGACAACAUUAAGUACCCUCGAACAUCUGCAGUUUUGAACACCUGCAUAAAGCUUUCUCUCUGUUAGAAGAAAGGCAAAGUUAAAGUAUAAAUGUAAGACUGACUACAGUUGACACUUUAGACUACAAAACAUAAUAUUGGUGACUUAUCAUGCGUCUGUAAAUCAACUAUACUUUUAGAAUAUGUUUGCCACUAGCCAUUAGAAAUGCAACACCAGGAAGGAUAGCAUAUCAUGAAAUUUUACUUAUUCUGUGUAUAAGUACAGUAGAAAGAAUAUAUGAUUAAAUUUGUUGGUAAUUUAAGAGUAUACAGGUGCAAAAUUCAGUAGAUAGGCCAGCCACAUCUGGAAGCAACAGUGGCUCUGACCUGUCUUUGAUGACAGGUAUGGGUAUGUAAUUCCAUGCUGCUUCAAAUCAAUGAUGGAAUGCAUCAACUGUAGUGGGUGGCAGUCAUGGCAUGCCAGUUUCUUGGCAAUCCAUACUCAGUUGUCUUCAAUGAGUGACAGAUUUGGAGUGUGUUGGCUAAAGCAACAGUCAGCCAUCCUUUGUAUUGACGUAGGCGAGGACAUCGUGAGCAACAUUUGUUCAUGUGUUACCUUGUUGACAGAAAAGAUCUCAGAGACCUCAAAAAUACAUUGCAUCCACCAUUAUUAAUGUCAUAACUGCAAUGGCUGCUGUUAAAACUAUUGGCUGUGCAAACAGAUAUGAUCAUGUGAUUCUUGAAGUUUUCCUGGCAUACUUGCCACUGUCUAGCCAAAGUAUUGUGGCAAGAAGUCAACAUGAUCUGGCUUCAAUCCCUGAACUUAAUAGAAUAGAGAUGGUUAUGUUCUGUAGCCAGUGGCACUUCGUACUGUCAUGCACCCAGUGCUGGGCCAGGUCAUUGUGACAGUGAGGAAUGCAGCCUGGCAACAUUCACUCUCCUCAGAGCCUCCCUACACAGAUAUGACCACUGUGAACUUAUCUGAAAGGACAAUAUGGUGUCACUUCUGUUUCCAGUAUAAUUGCCAUGCUGACAGUCUAUGGGCCUCCAGAUAGCUGUACAGAAAUCUGUCUCUUUGCAAAAAAGUCCAUUUUUGGAUAUAAGACAGAUGAUGUGGCUGAAUGGUCAGCAUGGCAAGUGAACAAUAUGCCUCUCCUCUCAGGUGUUAGUCACUUGGGGAUGUUGAGAUCGUGCAUGGUAUUGAUUGUGACCCUCCUGAACCCAUUGAUACAAUCUCGUGACAGUUGUUUAUCCUAAUCAAAGCAAGCAGGAAUAUUGUGGGAUGAUAAAUCACAGUCAUGACAGGCUUAUGAUCCUGCCAUUAUUAAAUUCUGGUGUGCUGGUAGAUGUUUCUCCUUCUUACAUAAAAUGACACUGCCUUCUAACAAACCAAUAGCAUUCAAAUGCGAUUUCUGAAUGAGUAACCCAUGGCGUAAUCUUUCCUUACAUACAGAAUGUAGAGGUUAUUACUCUUACAACAUUGUGCAAUUGUGGUAAAAUGCUUAUCAUUUGCAUAUCCAAGCAUAUUGUACAUGUCAUGCCAUUUCAAUAUUUGUUGCACAUCAUCUUCAAGGUAUUGCAAUUUUAAUGGCCAGAAGUUAAAUACUGAUAUUAAAGUCUUAAAUAAGUGGAGUAAGUCUCACUUUGUCUCAUGAGACAUAAAUGUGAUUUGAUAGGUGAUUCCACAUACAUUAUUGUACAUGUACUUUAACAAGAAAAUUAACAGUUAUUCUCCAAUGCAAGAAUGCAGGAACAGUAUAUAAAGGAAGGUAACAAAAAGCACAAAACUUGCAAGAGAAUGGCGAAUAGAAAAAUAUGGAUCAGAGAGGUUACAUGUGUGUACUGCUAAUAUCAUGAGAUAUAAGCAUAACAUAUAUUACUGCCACUAUAUCACAUAGAAGAUUUGCAAAUGUAAAUGUCAUCUUCAGUGAAAACUGCAUACAAAUUAAAAGACUGCAUGUAGAAUGUUAUAAGCUUUUAGCCCUUGCUUUCACAGAAUCAACUUUAAAAAAUAACUGUCAAACAUAUAUAAUUUAUAUCCAAUACUUUGCUCAUUAAUGCAAUGAAUUAUGCAAAAAGAAUCUGUUUAUGGGCAUUACAAUUUUCAGUGCACUUCUGGAAAACACCACAGUAUUCUGUGUGCACACAGAAUAUUUUAAUAUUAUCCGAUAAGGAGUUCUGUACAUCAGUUUCAGUUGGUUAAUGUCUGAUGAUUGUCCUGUAAUCUGAAAACUGGAUCAAAAAUAAACAAAUAUUGAAGAACAU